UCCCCCUAAAAUGGGAAAUCUGAUUUCGCAAUCAUUUUUUUUGUAUCUGUUCAAAAGGGAAACGUAAGGAGGUAAAUCCCCAAUACGUAGUGAGAAAUGAGAAAUUGUGAGCUUAUAUAGGCUAUGUAUACAACACAAAGGGCCAUUUGGUGCAGCAGUCUGACGGAACGGAUCACUGCAAUUGAAGCUGAGAGGAAGAAAGGUUCUGCUGCUUAGACUUUUGAGCUUUUACCAUUAAUGAUUUAUGUGAAGGUUGAUGGUUCUUCUAAUCUAAAGGCGGAGCAGAUCUUCUAAACUUUGGUGAACUCUACUAACUUUGCAAUCAGAGGAACUGCUAUUCUCGACCAGUUUGUCUACCUGCCAUGGCCAAAAUGAGGUGUGAACACUUGUUUGAUGUCAUAGACUAUAAUGUCCUAGGAGCUGCCCUGGUUUUCAGCUUGAGUGCCCUGUUGCACUCAAAUAGCAUCAGUAAACUAUUCUUUGGUAUUGUGGUUUCCGUUGGAUCGCUGAUUGAUGUCACUUUCGUCUUAACAAGCUGUA